UCUGCCCUUGAGAGGGGGAUAACAGUCGGAAACGACUGCUAAUACCGCAUAAUCUGGCGAGGCCUCAUGGUCAUGCCAGCAAAGGUGGCCUCUGAAUAUGCUACCACUUAAGGAUGAGCCCGCGUCUGAUUAGCUAGUAGGUGGGGUAACGGCCUACCUAGGCAACGAUCAGUAGCCGGCCUGAGAGGGUGUACGGCCACACUGGAACUGAGACACGGUCCAGACUCCUACGGGAGGCAGCAGUGGGGAAUAUUGCGCAAUGGGGGAAACCCUGACGCAGCGACGCCGCGUGAGCGACGAAGGCCUUCGGGUUGUAAAGCUCUGUUCUAAGGGACGAAUGACUCUAUCGUUAAUAAUGGUAGAGAAUGACGGUACCUUAGGAGAAAGCCCCGGCUAACUACGUGCCAGCAGCCGCGGUAACACGUAGGGGGCAAGCGUUGUCCGGAAUUACUGGGCGUAAAGAGCGUGUAGGCGGGUAUUUAAGUCAGGUGUGAAAGACCGGGGCUCAACUCCGGGGUUGCACUUGAAACUGGGUAUCUUGAGGGCAGGAGAGGAAAGCGGAAUUCCUGGUGUAGCGGUGAAAUGCGUAAAUAUCACGAGGAACACCGGUGGCGAAGGCGGCUUUCUG
rnacentral:rRNA from 1 species